GGGGGGGCAAGCGUUUGUUCGGAAUUACUGGGCGUAAAGGGCGCGCAGGCGGCCCGGCCAGUCCUACGUGAAAUCCCACAGCUCAACUGUGGAACUGCGUGGGAUACUGCCAGGCUUGAGUCCGGGAGAGGAGAGUGGAAUUCCCAGUGUAGCGGUGAAAUGCGUAGAUAUUGGGAGGAACACCGGUGGCGAAGGCGGCUCUCUGGACCGGCACUGACGCUGAGGCGCGAAAGCUAGGGGAGCAAACGGGGAUUAGAUACCCCGGUAGUCCUAGCCCUAAACGAUGAGCACUUUGUGUGGCGGGUAUCGACCCCUGCCGUGCAGAAGCUAACGCAUUAAGUGCUCCGCCUGGGGAUACGGUCGCAAGGCUG
rnacentral:rRNA from 1 species